rnacentral:rRNA from 1 species
UAUGAACGCUGGCGGCGUGCCUAAUACAUGCAAGUCGAGCGAACGGACGAGAAGCUUGCUUCUCUGAUGUUAGCGGCGGACGGGUGAGUAACACGUGGAUAACCUACCUAUAAGACUGGGAUAACUUCGGGAAACCGUAGCUAAUACCAGAUAAUAUUUUGAACCGCAUGGUUCAAAAGUGAAAGACGGUCUUGCUGUCACUUAUAGAUGGAUCCGCGCUGCAUUAGCUAGUUGGUAAGGUAACGGCUUACCAAGGCAACGAUGCAUAGCCGACCUGAGAGGGUGAUCGGCCACACUGGAACUGAGACACGGUCCAGACUCCUACGGGAGGCAGCAGUAGGGAAUCUUCCGCAAUGGGCGAAAGCCUGACGGAGCAACGCCGCGUGAGUGAUGAAGGUCUUCGGAUCGUAAAACUCUGUUAUUAGGGAAGAACAUAUGUGUAAGUAACUGUGCACAUCUUGACGGUACCUAAUCAGAAAGCCACGGCUAACUACGUG